rnacentral:misc_RNA from 1 species
GAAAUGCGAUAAGUAAUGUGAAUUGCAGAAUUCAGUGAAUCAUCGAAUCUUUGAACGCACCUUGCGCUCCUUGGUAUUCCUUGGAGCAUGCCUGUUUGAGUAUCAUGAAAUCUUCAAAGUAAAUCUUUUGUUAACUCAAUUGGUUUCUACUUUGGUAUUGGAGGUCUUUGCAGCUUCACACCUGCUCCUCUUUGUUCAUUAGCUGGAUCUCAGUGUUAUGCUUGGUUCCACUCGGCGUGAUAAGUUAUCUAUCGCUGAGGACACUGUAAAAGGUGGCCAAGGUAAAUUCAGAUGAACCGCUUCUAAUAGUCCAUUGACUUGGACAAUACUUUUAUGAUCUGAUCUCAAAUCAGUUAGGACUACCCGCUGAACUUAAGC